rnacentral:lncRNA from 1 species
AUAAAAGAAGCUGUCCUGGCACCGUAUUACCCGACUCCUUAUUAAUCAAUCCAAAAUAAAAAUACAAGAGCCAUAGGGGCUAGCCAGACGCAAGGCUAGAGUUCAACACUCCAUGCCAAGCUAGUGUCCAAAUCUGCAAGCCAAUCUAUCUUCUCCCAAAUGUCCUCACCGUUAAAAAUGUACCUUUUGACGUUGUUUACACAAUUAGAUGUAUACUCAACCACAACUUCCUCUAUGCACUGCCGCCAGCAUGAGAUGGGACGGGAUUUGCAGCAUUGAGCAAUCCCUCCUUCAUAUACUGCCUGCUUCUUAUAAGAAAACUCAAACUGAAACAAAAGGACAAGGCACUUAUAAGCAAAGCAGCGUUUGUUACAAGCACACAAAACAAAGGCAUAAACGUAAAAUGGACCAACUUAAGUACCAGCAUUACAUGUGUAUCAUAAUCACAUAAUUCUCACAGUAUAAACCAAGAACUAAUUCAGACCAAUGCAAAAUCUUCAGUACCUUAAAAGAGAACCAGUUCAAGUAAAAUGAUUUGAUUGUAACAGUCCUUAAAUGAGGUGAAAUCCAGAGCAAACCAUCGAUAGUGUUUUUAAUUGCGACUCGCACACGGGUUCCAGUUAUUACAAAGUCCAGGUUGUUGUAACCAUAGAAUGGGGAAGAUUGGAUUUGCCUCAAGUCUUCUGGAAUAUCCGCAUUCUGCACAAAAGAAUUUGAAUAAUAUAUAAGAAAUAAAAAAGUAUGUAAAAUAGUAAACAGCUCGAUAUUUAAAUGUAUACAUAUAGAAUGCAAGAAGUGACAUACCUCACCCUUGUAACUUUCCAAAUUCACCCCUUUGGAAACAUUAUGGAACAUUGCAAGGAGUCCAAUAUACUCAGAAUACCAGUCAAUGUCGCUGUUAUUCUUGUCGAAAUUGAGAUGAGUUUCCAACAAAGUCAUAGCACCUAUAGAGAAGGAUACCACAUCACCUUCAUAUCUGAAAAUACUUAAAUUAGGAGCCUCAAUCUUGACUUCAAUCAACCCUGCACAUUCAAAGAUCUUCAGCGUCUUAAGACUGAGACUUGAAAUCUUAAUACUCUUCAACUUGUCACAACCAACCAAAUUCAAAUUCUCGAGGAAUGGAAAGUUAGGAAUUUGGCUACAAAGCCACUCAUCCUUCAGAGAAAGCAGGCGCAGAGUUAAAAAUUUAAUAUUCUUACAGGAGGCUACAUUGAUCUCGCAUGGUAAGCUUAAUUGAAUGCUAACUGUCUUCACAUUCAGAGCUUGGAUAGAAAGCCAUAGAACUUCCAGACAGUUACGAACCUUGAAUUCAUUGAGUUUGGUAAGACCAGAUAGAUCUAGAGUAUUAAAGCCAAGGCAGUUAACCAGACUUAGAUGUUCAAUCAAAGGACAGCCAUCAACUAGGCUCUCAAGGACUAGAUCGGCAGCAUAAACGCUUGUGAGACAUAAUUUUUUCAAAGAAGAUAACUUCACACUUCUCAGAGACUGCAGCUUACAACAACUUAAGGCUAACACUUGUAUUGAUUUUGAGCAUAAAACCUCUUGAGGCAAAUUGUAGCAGCGCUUGUUACGAGCGUCAACUGAAGGCAUUCCUGGUCUAGUAUCAACAACACGUGCACUAGUAUGAAAUGGAAGUGCGAGUUUCAGCUCUUUGACAUCACUUUCUAAUGCAGAGAAGAUACACCGGUCUACAAAUGGUCCGAGUUCUUUUACCCGUAAUUCAUACAAGUCAAGUGUGAACUUGUCUAACCUUAUCAUCUCCCUGCGGCGGGUGCGCAGAGUUCCCUCUACAUAAUUUAAUGCCCUGCUUAACUUCUCAUCUCCAAGUUGAGCUUCAAUUUUGUUGUUGCAAGAAACCGAAGGAACUUGAUUAAAGAAAGUUUUACCAAAUUCCAAAAUUGGGAAUGUACGCCAGGCUCGUUCCCAUGCUUGCGACAAAACAGUUGUUUGAACUACUUGUUUAAAUGAGAGGAAUGACAAAAUACAAUGCAGUAUUGGUUCCGGCAAAUUAGAUAUCCUGUCCAUGCUGCUAAGCACCUCCUCCAUAAUAACAAUAUCAUCACCAGAUUCCCUGAAUCAGUAGCAACAUCUUCCUUCUAAGUAUGCUAAUUAAAUUGAGACAACUGAGUACUAAUAAUAAUAAGAAUAUUGGCUGGAUUCUAUCAAUUUAAUUCAAUGUAAUAAAGAAAAUAAAUAAUCCUAACAAAAACUCUUUUGAAUUGAACAUGUUUAAUUUCUUUUUUGUACGAGAAGAGACACUGAAACUUUCACUUUCACCGGAAAAAGAAAAAUCAGCCUAAAACAGAACUGAAUUAUUUAUAAAAGAAAAGAAAGGAAAAGAAAAGAAAAAGAGACACGUUAACACAGAACCAAUAUGGAUGAGGAUGAUAAAAUACCUAUUCAUCCGAUCGAUCAAUCGUGACAGUCCAACAGCGACAGCGACGGCAACCGAAACAGCAGAACUGUCAAGAAAGGAUUGAUCUGCUUUAACUAUGUUUUGUAUAGGCUUAAUUUUGAGGAUUCCGAAUCCAAAACAGACAAAGUCACAACAGCAAAAUUAUGUAGGCUCAGUCUGCCCCGUGUAUAUAUAUUUUGAAAAUUCCAAAUCCAAAUCGGACACGUCCUUCUGCUUCUCCUAACGCGAAUCGGACAUGCGGCUAGUCGCUACGCAACAGUAAUUAAGCUUUUUGGAGAUAAGAGUGGUUUCGUUUCCAUCCAUUUUAUGUACUUCCAUCUGUUAGUUGAAGAACUAGUUUGUUACAAAGUACGCAAAUCUAACACCUGACAACUUCGGAUGACGCAAUCUUUUGUCAUCAAAUAGGCUUUUGAGUCUUGACUCUUGACACCCCCUUCAAAAUUCCGAACUGCUUAAAUAAUCGAAGUAAUUUAUGAAUAAUGAUAAAUAUUUUAAAAAUUUUAUCCCAAAGAAAUUCAAGUAAAUAUUUAAAUAUUAUUAUUCCUUGAAAAAAAAUUUAACACUAUCUUAUUUCAUAAUUUGUAUUAUUCUUUAAAUUUUAAUUAAAGAUAUGUUCUUGAGAAGAGUACAAAAAUUUAAAGUAAUGGAGAUAAAAAUUAUAUAUUAAGAAAAAAUAAUUUAAGAUUUUUAUAUUUUAUAAAUAAAAAUUUUAGCAUAUAAUUUUGUAUUACAUAAGUUAAUUUUAAUAUAUACAUUUGUAUUUUAUAAAUGAAAUAAAUAAAAUUUAGGAGAGAUGUUAUAAAAAUUUUAAGGGUGAGGCUAUCAUAAGUGUUGACAUUUAAUUUCGGACAGUUUGACUCAAUAAAAUAUUCAAUUACCCCAAUUUCUCGUGACUCCCAUCAAACAAAGAUUUAAAUUUAUAGUUUUCCCUUUAGGCCACGACUACAAUGGUUCAGGUGCAUUAAUAGAUCAGGUGAAUAAAAAAUUAUAAAAAAAUUUUACACCGUUCGAUGCAAAUUCAAAGUAAAUCAAUGGUUAGAUAAUUGAAAAAGAAGAAGCGGACAACGGGAGAGAAGUUAAGCGUGGGCCCUAUCUAACAAGGGUCGUCAGAUUGUUUUACCAAUUACCACCUUUAUCUCUGUUUGUGACGGCACCACUGUAGCAAACCGUGGCAGAACAGUAACACUAGUGAUGUUAAUUUAUUAUUGUUUUAUAAAAUAUAAAUUUAAUUAGCUUUUAAUAUUAAUGAGUUUAGGAAAUACAAAUAAUUAAAAUUUUACAUAACUUGUUUUCCUAAAUAAGGUAUUCUAAAAAUUUCACAUCACCUAGUUUCUACCACCACCUAUCUUUUAUAAGAAGUUCAUGUAACCAUAUAGUCACCAAAAUAAUCUGCACUACCUAAUUUUUGAAACUUGUAUCAUCAAAACACUUUUUCCAAAAAAUCGGGAGAACCUCCCAUCGGCUAAAUGAAAAACUUAAUUUGAGUUUCAUUCUGCUCUGAAGAACAAAAAGUCCAAAGAAAAACUUUAUUUGACCUUUUUGUUAUUCAAUAAAUAAAAAUGACAAACAAUGUCUUCAACUAACAAACAUAAAAGAAGCUGUCCUGGCACCGUAUUACCCGACUCCUUAUUAAUCAAUCCAAAAUAAAAAUACAAGAGCCAUAGGGGCUAGCCAGACACAAGGCUAGAGUUCAACACUCCAUGCCAAGCUAGUGUCCAAAUCUGCAAGCCAAUCUAUCUUCUCCCAAAUGUCCUCACCGUUAAAAAUGUACCUUUUGACGUUGUUUACACCAUUAGAUGUAUACUCAGCCACAACUUGCUCUAUGCACUGCCGCCAGCAUGAUGUUAGAAAAUUGGUGGGUGAAGCAGGACCGCAGCUAAAAUGAAAUUAUAAGAAAAUAAAGAACAAGCACAAUAGAGGACACCAGAGAUUACGUGGUUCGGCUUUUAGCCUACAUCCACGGGCGAAAACAGAAGGAAAUAUUUUACUAGUGAAAAGGAGUUACAAGUAUUGUAGUAUUUUAACUCACUUCCCAAAACCCCAAUACACCCAAACUCUCAGAACACUAAUAACAAGAGCUUAUAAUUUCAAGCUCUCUAAACUCUCUCAAAAUGCUAAAUUGCUCUCUCUUAAUGGAAUGCAUAAGCUCUUCAUCUGCACUUCUAUUUAUAGCAAACUAGUGGCCAAGAAAAUCAACGAUUUUAGCCCACCAAUUAUGGCUUCAAUUUCGUCAAUCCGCAUGGCUUCCAUUUGUCAAUCUAGCUUUAUGAAUUUUCUUUGAUUUGCUGCAAGAUUCCUCUUCUUUGAAUGUUGACCAUCUAGAUGGAUGGCUGCUUUUGACAUUUCUCCCACUUGGAGAUUAGAUUGAGAAGCAAUCAAUCUCCACACCAUCCUUUCUGCUUCGCCAUAAUCAUGUUGCCUACGUUUCUGCUAGGCCACAAGAGGAUCUACUCCAGAUAAACUUAUCAGUAUUUAUCGGCUUGGUCAAAACAUCUGCUAGGUUCUCUUUGGUAUGGAUUUUCUGCAAAUCCACACUUCCAUCUUCCACUACUUCACGAACGAAGUGAUACUGGACUCCUAUGUGCUUUGUCCUGGAAUGAAAGGCUGGAUUCCUUGCAAUGUGCAAGGCACUCUGACUGUCACAAAACACAGGAAUUUUCUGUUGUUUGUACCCGAGUUCCUCCAAUAAUCUUUGUAUCCAAAUAGCUUCCUUACAAGCUUGUGUAGCUGCCAUGUAUUCUGCUUCUGUUGUAGAUAAAGCCACAACGGUCUGCAGUUUUGAAACCCAGCUUACAGCUGCUCCCACAAGUGUAAACACAUAACCAGUAGUGGAUUUUCUUUUAUCAAGAUCUCCUGCAAAAUCUGAAUCCACAUAGCCCCUGACAGUAAACUCUGAUCCUCCAUAACAUAAUGCAACAUCUGAGGUUCCUCUGAUGUAUCUCAGAAUCCUCUUCACAGCUAUCCAAUGCUCUCCACUAGGAUUCGCCAUGUAUCGACUGACUGCUCCCACUGCUUGUGCAAUGUCCGGUCUUGUGCAUAUCAUAGCGAACAUCAAACUUCAUACUGCUGAUGCAUACGGUACUCGAGACAUCUCCUUCCUCUCCGCUUCAUUGCUAGGACACAUACUUGAGGAUAAUUUGAAAUUAACAGGAAGUGUGGUAGAAAUUGACUUACAAUCUUGCAUGUUGAAGCGUCGCAAGAUUUUCUUCAAGUAAUUCUUCUGCGAAAGCCAAAUCUUCUUGUUAUUUCUGUCUCGGUGAAUUUGCAUCCCUAGAAUCUUGUUUGCUGGUCCCAAGUCCUUCAUUUCAAACUCCCUAGCCAACUGUGCCUUUAAUUCUUGGACUCGAUCUUUGUUGGGACCUGCUACCAACAUGUCAUCCACAUACAACAGCAAAAUGAUGAAAUCAUUAGCUUCAAACCUCUUGUAAUAUGCACAAUGGUCUGAAUUGAGUCUGUUGUACCCAAGGCUCAUAAUAAAGGAAUCAAAUCUCUUAUACCAACACCUCGGCGCCUGUUUGAGACCGUAUAGAGAUUUGUUCAACCUGCAAACCAAGUUCUCCUUUCCUGUUUCUGCAAAACCUUCUGGUUGGAGCAUAUAUAUUUCUUCUUCAAGUUCUCCAUGAAGAAAUGCAGUUUUCACAUCUAACUGCUCUAGAUGUAGGUCAAAUGUAGCAUACAUCGCCAAGACUAUUCUGACUGUUGUGAGUCGAACCACUGGAGAAAAUAUCUCGUUGAAGUCAAUACCUUCUUUCUGAGCAUAUCCUUUCACCACCAGUCUUGCACGAUACCGCUCCACUUGGUCAUUAUCAUCACGUUUGAUCUUGUAGACCCAUUUGUUUCCAAUGGCUUUUCUUCCACGUGGUAGUGGUACAAGUUCCCAUGUCUUGUUCUUGUGUAGAGCUUCAAUUUCUUCCUGCAUUGCUGUCAUCCACAAAGCAACAUCUAAGCUGUUUAAAGCUUCAUGGAAAGUUGAUGGCUCUCCAUCCUCCGUUAGAAGACAGUAUGCAACGUUGAUCUCUGUGACAUACUCCGAGUGCCAUGUUGGUGGUCGUCUCUCACGAGUUGACCGACGAACUUCUGGAACCUCGGACUCGACUGAUUCUUGUUUCUCGUGCUCUGGUGCUGCUUCAGAAGAAUCUAAAUCUUCUAGAUUAUUUUCCACAUAUACUGGCACGAUCUCUGACUUUUCUUUUGUAGUGCCAUCAUCCUUAUCUCUCCUUUGCAGUUGAUCUUCUACAAAAAUAACAUCUCUGCUGAUGACGAUCUUCUGGGCAGUGGGGUCCCACAGACGAUACCCCUUUACUCCAUCAGCAUACCCCAAGAAGAUACAUCUUCUAGAUUUUGCAUCCAGCUUUGUUCUUUCUUGGGCAUUGUACAUCACGUACACAGGACAUCCAAAUGCAUGUAGGUAGGAAUAAUCAGCUGGCUUUCCAGUCCACAUCUCCAUCGCCGUCUUCAACCCAAUUGCUGUAGAUGGCGACCGAUUUACUAUAUAACAGGCAGUUUUGGCUGCUUCUGCCCAGAAUGAAUUGGGUAGACCAGCAGUCUUCAACAUAGCUCUUAUUCUUUCUGUAAGAGUUCUGUUCAUCCGCUCCGCCACUCCAUUUUGUUGAGGAGUGUAUGCCACCGUGAACUGCCUCUGAAUACCUUCUUGCUUACAGAAAGCAAGAAACUCGCCGUCUAUAUAUUCUCCACCAUUAUCUGUCCUCAAGCACUUGAUCUUUUUACCAGAUUCAAGUUCCACCCGCGCUUUGUAUUCUUUAAACACAGGAAAUACAUCUGACUUUUUCUUAAUUGGAUACACCCAACAUCUUCUGGAAUAAUCAUCAAUGAAAGUCACCAUGUAUUUUGCACCUCCCAUGGAUAUAUCCGGUGAUUCCCAAACAUCAGAAUGAAUCAAGUCUAGAAUGCAUUUACUUCUAGCAAUAGAUCUACUGAAUUUUAAUCUAUGCUGCUUACUUGUAACACAAUGCUCGCAAAAUGGUAAACUUACCGAUUUGAGCCCCGGAAGUAAUUUUUGCUCAGAGAGAAUCUUCAAGCCUUGUUCUGACAUGUGGCCAAGUUUGAGAUGCCACAUCAUCGUUGACUCUUCUCCAUUUGAUGCGACACACGCAUCUGCCUCCUGUAGCGUUUCUCCUUUAAGCAUGUAUAGAUUAGCACCGAUCUUUUCUGCCUUCAUCAAUACAAGCGCACCUUUAACGAUCUUCAUAAUUCAAUUCUCCACAUGAGUUUUGUACCCAUGACUAUCCAUUUGUCCCAAAGACAAUAGAUUUUUCUUCAGGCCGUUGACAUGUCGUACCUCCCCAAUUGUGCGAAUUGUACCAUCAAACAUUUUUAUUUUGAUAGUACCAAUACCAGCGAUCUCCAAGGCAUGAUCGUUACCCAUAUAUACAGAUCCUCCUGAGAUAGGUUCAUAUGUGUGGAACCAUUCUCUUCUAGAGGUCAUGUGCCAGGUAGCUCCUGAGUCUAUAAGCCAGACAUCAGAAAGUCGUUUUCUGCCUUCUGAAAUAGUUGUUGCCUCGCUGUAAAGAAUUUCGCCAUCAUCCGAGGUACUUGCUACACACCCCUGAGCAUUUGAUGACUCAGGUUCUUUGCCCUCUCUUCUCUUCUGGUUACUCCAACACUCUUUCUUGACGUGCCAUUUCUUGCCACAGUUGUAGCAUUUAACAUUCUUCUUACUUCUGGAUUUUGAUCUACCCUGAUUUUGACUCCCACUGGGGCCACGUUCCGUUGAUCUCCCUCUCGUCACCUAUAGCGCUUCUGCUUGCUGCGAACUUGCUUGUCUGUUUUCCUUAUUUUUCCGCCUGCUCUCCUCAUUUAAUACGGAGGCUGCAACAUCGUCGAAAACUAGACUCUCCACUGGAUUGUUGUUCGUCAGGUUGAUGAUGAGUUGAUCAUAUGAAUCUGGUAGACUUUGAAGUAGAAGCUCUGCACGUUCAUUUUCCUCUAUAUUAUGACCCAACAUUGUGAGUUGUGAAAAUAGAGUCUUCAAUGUGUUGAUGUGGUCGGUCACCAUUGUAGAUUCCGCCAUUCGAAGAGUAUAGAGUUUUCUCUUCAAGAAAAUUUUGUUGUGUAGUGACUUGGCCUCAUACAAUUUUGUGAGAGUAUCCCAUAUUUCCUUCGCCGUAUUUUUCUCUGCCACACUGGAUAAUACUCCAUCCGCAAGUGCCAAGUGUAGAUCAGAAAUGGCAUUGCCGUCUACCUCGUUCCACUUGUCAUCAGUUAUCUCCAUGGGCCUUUCUCCAAUUGCUGCCAAACAAUUAUUUUUCCUCAAUACAGCUUUCAUCUUCAUUUUCCACAACGAAAAAUUAUUUCCGUUAAAUUUCUCAAUUUCAUACUUUGCCGCCAUUUUGUUGAUAAAUACUGCACACAAGUUAGUGUACCACCUUGAAUAGUUGUGAGUAUGUGUGAGAAUGCAUGAGAAUGCACACCAGGAAAGUUCCCAGGAAAGACUGGAGGGGUCACAAUGGUCUCACUUAAAACCCAGACUCCUUAAGCUCUUAUCGCCUUUGUGACAGAACUUUCCUAGACAUGUACAGAACCACACAGUUACUUUACUCACACCACUAUUCCCUGCUUUGCACCGCAAAAUUCUUAGAUGGCUUCCACCGUUUCACGUGAAUAGUACCGUAUACGUGAAUAGUGCCGUAUACGUGAAUAGUAUCGUACACCGUAUACAUGAAUAGUGUCGUACACCGUAUACGUGAAUAGUGCCGUACGCCGUAUACGUGAAUAGUCCCGUACGCCGUAUACGUGAACAAUUCCCGACUCCAAAAAAUACAACCAAUUGCUCUGAUACCACUGUUAGAAAAUUGGUGGGUGAAGCAGGACCGCAGCUAAAAUGAAAUUAUAAGAAAAUAAAGAACAAGCACAAUAGAUGACACCAGAGAUUACGUGGUUCGGCUUUUAGCCUACAUCCACGGGCGAAAACAGAAGGAAAUAUUUUACUAGUGAAAAGGAGUUACAAGUAUUGUAGUAUUUUAACUCACUUCCCAAAACCCCAAUACACCCAAACUCUCAGAACACUAAUAACAAGAGCUUAUAAUUUCAAGCUCUCUAAACUCUCUCAAAAUGCUAAAUUGCUCUCUCUUAAUGGAAUGCAUAAGCUCUUCAUCUGCACUUCUAUUUAUAGCAAACUAGUGGCCAAGAAAAUCAACGAUUUUAGCCCACCAAUUAUGGCUUCAAUUUCGUCAAUCCGCAUGGCUUCCAUUUGUCAAUCUAGCUUUAUGAAUUUUCUUUGAUUUGCUGUAAAAUUCCUCUUCUUUGAAUGUUGACCAUCUAGAUGGAUGGCUGCUUUUGACACAUGAGAUGGGACGGGAUUUGCAGCAUUGAGCAAUCCCUCCUUCAUAUACUGCCUGCUUCUUAUAAGAAAACUCAAACUAAAAC